UCAGGCGCUCAUGCCGUCGUCUUCCACCUGCAUGAAGGUGUUGGCUGUCCUGACCCAUCACUUCAUACUGUUCAUCUUCACCCUUUGAGUCCAUGCUUCCUCCUUCUCAGCCUGGUCCCCAUCAUUGUAACCCUGUUUCUCAGACGCCCUCAGCCCCAGCCUUCUCUCACAUUCAUGGUCACCCCCAAAAGACCCAGUCUGAAUGCGUGAGCUCAGGACUUCAGGUGCUGUCCCGGCCUGGCCUGGCCUUGCUGCCAUUUUUUCCCCCCCCAGCCACUCCUUUAUCCACAGCCCAAGCAUCCUGUCUUCACAGCCACCCCUCUUCCCUCACAGGCUUUGUGACUACCACGGAGCUUCCCCCUCAGCACGCAAACGUGUUAGGAACCAGCCAUUCCUUGUUACGCUCUGCUUGCCGCCUCCUCACGUCCCACAUUUCCCCGCAUUUCCUUCCGUGCCCUGGCCCGUCCAUGCUGCUGAACCUAGGUGCUGCUGCUGCUGCUGCUGCUGCUGCUGCUGUGUCAGUCCCACGUGACCUCACGUCAUUGUUGGGAGAUGCCCACUCGGGAUCGUCUGGCUGCCUCUGCCCCAGCAGUCAGCUCUGAUGUCUGAGUUCGGCGCUGACCCUGGACACAGUUCUGUGUCUCUACCACCACCUUCUGGCUUGUGCAGCCCCCACGCCUCUGUUCUGGCCCUUGAAGGCCCCCCCGCCGGGGCCCGGGCCUCCGUCUGCUCCAUCCUGGUCCUAGCUGUCUGGAUCCCCGUGGCCGUUUGCUUUUCUGCUCUGGCCUGCAAGGCAGACCUGAAGUCCGUCUCCGUCCUCUGCCUAUUACUCUGCCUCUCUCACUGCCCCUGUGCUGAGAUGGCGUCGCCGCAGUUCCAUGAGUCAGGGAGUGAGUCUGUCCCUUGGCAGGGCCUUUGCGCAGUCUGCUCUCUGCUGAGUGAGCUCCCCUGGCCGCAGCUGACUCAGGUGGUGUGUGUGUCACCUCACUGGUGAGGCCCCCUGCGACCCAGUCCUUUUCCUCUUGGCUCCAUGCAUUGGAUUUCCACCGCAGACCUCGCCAUCCCUCAGUAUUUGGUCAUCCUUUACUCCCAACCAUGAGAACUGGAUCCACAAGCAGCUGCCCUAGCAGGGCGGCCUAGGGCAGUGUCUGCAGCAGUCGGCCGGCCAUGAUUGCCAGGGAUCCAGGACCACUCCUCCUCCAUCUCUGUACCGUCUCAGGCACAGCGCGAGGCUUGGACCACUGUGGAUAGGAAUAGACACAUACUCUAUUUCUGUGCCCCUGGUGGAGAGCCUGGGCACCACACCCGACUCUGUUCCAGAACUCACUGAACUUGCCUUCCAUCUUGCUGCUGAAGAAGCUGCCUCCUGAAGAUGAAUGACUUGCUGGCCAUGUUUGCGCCUGCGCGGCCUCUGUCUCCUACCAGCUUCGGGCCCUCUUUGUCUUCAGA